UUUCUCACUUCUCUCUCUAAAAUUCAAACUUUAAACUUUGCUCUCACUUCUCUCUAAGAUUUCAUCUCCAAAACCUCACCAAAUCACCAAAUCUCCUUCACCAAACUUGUUCCCUUCACUCUCCUCUUCACAACCAUACCAUUUUCAUGGUGUGGAUCAAAUUUUCGAGUUUCUCACACCACCAUACAGCCAUGGUUUUUGGGAGUUCAAGGACCAUGGAGUUGUGUUCUUGAGUUCUCUUGAAGAACAACACAUCCUUGCUUAGUUCUUUUGAGUUCUAGUGUGUGUUCUUAUUUAAAGGAGCAUUCUUGGUGGUAAAAGGUGGAGCUUGGAGCUAAAGAUGUGAACUUAAAGAUGUUUUCCUAGAGGGUUUGGCACUUGAGGAUUUAUUGGAGCAUAUGUAUUUUACUGUUGGAGUUGGGCUUGUGAUAAGCUCAGUGAGGUAUCCAGAGUAGUGGUGAUGCUUAUAGGGGCAAGGCCCCCGCCUUGGAGUAAUGGACGAUGAAGCUGAUUUAUUUAUUAUGAUUAGACUUUAUGAUGGCAUGUAUAAUUAUUAACAUGCUUAAUUAUCUUAUAUUGAGAUUAUAUGAUGUAUUUAUUUAGGCUCAAGACUGUAUGAUCGGAGCCAUGGAUUAUUUACUGAUGCUUAGGCAUUUGGAAAUUAAUAUAGACUUGAUGUAUGUAUUUAGUUAUUUAGGCAUAGAGCCAUAUUGUUGU